UGUGGAUGUAUAUAUUGACAUGAAUUGAAGAUUAAGACCCAUGUUGGAGUAUGUGCAAGUGUGACGUCUGUGAUAUGGUCAGUUAUUUCCGCUGAACACGAUUUGUGCUUGGCCCUCGGUGUGAUGCGGUAAUUAAAACGACAUUAUUCAAUAUUACAAAUGCGAAAAUAGCCAAGGCAAAAAGGCUUUGGAAAAGAAGGUCGGGUGAGGGACGACGCGUCGUCUUCAACAGGCGUUUAUUGCUCCUUGGACGAAAGUAGACUAUCUAGAUGGGAGCAAGAAAGAAGUCAUAAUGGAUAGAAAAGCCACCGGUAAUGGGAACGGGCUCGAGCUCGUAAAACCCUUUUUCCUGCCCACGUUUCCUGCCCUUGUGGCACAGGCCAACACAAUGAGGGCGAAGCCUUUGUGGCAAGAGCAUCUCAGUGACACGAAGCUGACGCUGGAAUAACUCAAACUAUGCACCUUGGCCCCGAGCAGCGACUGAUAGAGCGUGCAAAAUCAAUAACCAUCAGCCGAAACUCUUAUGCCCAUAACGGAAUUAUAUGAAAGUACGCCACAUGCUUGGGGAAAUCACUAAAUUCAGCCCAGUUCGAGCCUCGACUUCGUGUCUCGCCUAGUUCAGCGGUGGCAGCUGACUAACCACGCUGUCUCAUCUUUUAUGCAUACGCACACAGAUGUUCGCCCACUGAUAACUGAGACUGCUUAUCUCGUUGCCCGCUGCCCCUCUCAGGCUGCACGCCCGCCUGUUCGGCUUCAGGAGUCAACUGCAUGUGACAUUUGCAUGCUUACUUAAACAGCAAAAGGCAGAAAGAGGCUCUGCGUCUACGUCUGGCACGUCUGGGUCGUCAGCUAUGCCAUACAUUUUGGUGGCACGUCUGCAGGAGAAUUGCUCAAUGUCUCGGCACUACAGCUGGAGAGAGAGAGACAGAGAG